rnacentral:rRNA from 1 species
GAUGAACGCUGGCGGCGUGCCUAAUACAUGCAAGUCGAGCGAACAGAUGAGGAGCUUGCUCCUCUGACGUUAGCGGCGGACGGGUGAGUAACACGUGGAUAACCUACCUAUAAGACUGGGAUAACUUCGGGAAACCGGAGCUAAUACCGGAUAAUAUAUUGAACCGCAGGGUUCAAUAGUGAAAGACGGCUUUGCUGUCACUUAUAGAUGGAUCCGCGCCGCAUUAGCUAGUUGGUAAGGUAACGGCUUACCAAGGCAACGAUGCGUAGCCGACCUGAGAGGGUGAUCGGCCACACUGGAGCGGAGACACGGUCCAGACUCCUACGGGAGGCAGCAGUAGGGAAUCUUCCGCAAAGGGCGAAAGCCUGACGGAGCAACGCCGCGUGUGUGAUGAAGGUCUUCGGAUCGUAAAACUCUGUUAUUGGGGAAGAACAAAUGUGGAAGUAACUAUGCACGUCUUGACGGUACCUAAUCAGAAAGCCACGGCUAACUACGUG